UAGAGGCAUUGUGUUUAGCUAUCGCUAGGCGAAUGGGAAUCAGUGCAGCUGUUGCUCUGUUGUUAGCCAGUGCUAAGUGAGCGCUGGAGCUACAGGGAGGGCUGGAGCUGUGUGGGGUGGUGUGGAGGACCUGCUCCACUGACUGCUCAGACAGAAAUAGCACAUGAGCGAGCGUGUCCAUUUCCACUGGCUGCCACUCAACACCAGCCCCACGCAGAGCCGCGUACGCGACAGGCUAACCUUGCGCGCUAACCUCGCACGCUAGCCUCGCUAGCCUCCUCCUGCUUCAAAGCAGCUGCUGCAGCAGGCCUUUCGCUUUCUCAAAACUGGCCAACCGAUGAGAAGAGACUGCUCCCGGUAACCGUGGGAAACUAUCUAUCUCGGAAUACUCUUCAAUGCCCCCCAUUCCACCAUGGAACCCUGCACAAGAAUGAAAAGGGAGGCGAUGAGGUAGUGGUCUGCUGAGCUCUUAACAGUCUGACCGAAGAGCACACGUGUGUGUGUGUGUGUGUGUGUGUGUGUGUGUGUCCUCUCCAGCCUCUCGCUCUGUGAGUGAGUUCGGUGUGUGUGACCAUGAGCUGCCUGGACAAGCGGAGUGUGUGUCUGCGCGUGACACACCACCACCGGAACCUGACCAGCUCGUGCGAGAGCCUGACGGACGAGGCCGAUCGCGAGGUCAGCACGCUGACGGACCGCGCCUUCCACUCGCUCUGCAUCGGCGACGAGGCCGUCUACAACGACGCCGAGUUCCUCACGCCGUCGCCCAGCAGCUGCCUGCUCAAGCCGCUGGCGGACGAGCACGCACGGAAGGUUCUGGAGAAUGCCCCGAGCCUCGUCAACAAGAAACUCGGCUCCAACGGCGCCGCCACCGUCGCCUGGCAGCACAAGGAUGUGUCGUCUCUCCUGUCCGCCUUCACAGCCGGGAAGAAUGGCGGCGCCGCCGCUAGAAUCCCGAACGGAACGCCGGCUGGGAAUAACGCGGAGUCGUGGGAUAAAUCGGCUCUGCUGAGCAUCCAGAGGGAGCUGGCAGAGUUCUCCAGCGACUUCUACAGGAGCCUGGCCGACGGCAGCUUCGCCGACGCCACCGGGAAGCAUAAAGGCGGAUCCACCGCCGAGAAAAAAUCCUGCAAGGAAACGUCCGGCAAGGAUGCCACCGCUUGCGCUUCCUCGGGGGGGAAGUCCUCCAAGUCCAAACACAGCAGCAGGUCCAGCAAGCUGAAGAAGCUGAACUCCCGCAACUUCUUCCUGCACAGCGAGUUCAGCCCGUUCCAGGCGUGGGAGGACCUACACCAGUUCCCCUUCGGACAGGAGAACAUUUCCGACCUGCUGCCGCCCCCCCACAGCUUCCCCCGCUGGGGCGACACCACCACUCUCUACAGACACCUCACUGCCGCACACACACUCAGUCCUGCCGCACACACACUCAGUCCUGCAGCACACACACUCAGUCCUGCAGCACACACACUCAGUCCUGCAGCACACACACUUGACCUUGCACACAGAUCAGGAGCCUUGCGGGGCCCAGAGGCAGUGCAGAGGACGGAGAGGUCACACAAAACUGAAACUGCACAGAGAUCAAAACACACUCAGAUACUCGACACAGCACAGGGCACUGAAAAUGUACAAAUAACUGCAACUGUGCAAAGGGCUGAAAGUGGACAAAAGACUGAGACCGCACAGAGAUUUGACACUGUGCAAAGAAUUGAAAGUGCACAGAGAAUUGACACUGUGCAAAGAAUUGAAAGUGCACAGAGAAUUAACACUGUGCAAAGAAUUGAAAGUGCACAGACAACUGCGACUGCACAGAGGGUGGACGAGUCAAAGAGAGCAGCGCGCCUGCGGGGGGGGGAGGGGGCUGAGCCGCUGCCCAAACCUGCAGGGGUGGAGGGGGGGCCGCCGGCUGCGGUACAGACUCCCUCUCUGGUGCCAAACCCUGCUGCCUUGGAGCAGCGCCGCCCCUCGGCAGACAGCGCGGAGUGUAGCGCCCCCUGGAGGCGAAACAGGAGCAGGGCGAGGAGCGCUGCCCCCGGUGGCCAAAGGGAGAAGAGCUCCCCCGCCACCGAGCCGCCCAGGAGACAGGAAGUGAGACAGGAAAUGAGAGAGGAAGUGAGACGCAUGGAGGAGCAGAGCUCCCCCGCCACCGAGGCCGGGCCGCCCAGGAGACAGGAAGUGAGACAGGAAGUGAGACAGGAAGUGAGACGCAUGGAGGAGCAGAGCUCCGCCAGCUCCACGCCGUUCAACAUCACACACCUGCUCACGCCCGUCAUCCUCUGUCGCCAGGAUACGGAGAGCUUGGAGCCCGCCCUCUUCUCGCCCGUGACCCUUGACCUCCCCGUUGCUGCAGUGCCCGAGCCCUCGCCCGAGACGAAGACGAAGGCGCGCGAGAGCUACCGGUCCAUGGCCACCAGCCUGCUCUUCAACCUCAAGGACAACAGGAAGAGAGUCAAGGCCAUGUACAGCCCGCCCAAGUUCAGACCCACCAGAGACCCACCUGCCCACCAGAGCAAGCCGGAGGGCACAGACAUGUCCGCGUGCACAGCUGCCCACCAGAGCAAGCCAGAUGGCACAGACAUGUCCGCGCGCACAGCGGACGGGCGACACCAGGACACGCGGGGGACAGAUCAGCUCUGCGUUCCCAACAGCGUUCCCAACAGCGUCGUCGCGCAGGGAGGCUCCCCCCAGGAGGCCCUGAGCAGGAGUCCUGUUGUGGUGAACACGUCUGGAUACCCGUGUCGGAAUCUGUACGCUACUGCUGAGGUUGCCACGGAGACUCAGGAACAGAACAGGCGUGGCCACGUCAAGGAGACCCCCAAGAGAUCGGUCAAGGACCGAGUCAAAGAGCUGCAGAGGCAGAACGCCGCGACUGUGAGUAAGGACCCCGGAAAGAGAGGCAAAGAAAUACCACCUGUGUGUCCUACUACUGGCCUCCAGGCCAUAGAUGGUGCUGUGGAUAAAGAAGGAGACAGAGAUACAUUAAAAGAGGAGAGACGACUGCCUGAUUUACCAGAGAAACCAUCUGAGAAACCCAAACCAGCCAAACAACCCCCUCCUGUAGCAGCCAGAGUCAAACUCUCUUCAUCACCCAGAGAGACACACUCCAUCUCCAACACUAAACACUCUUCACCCAGAGAGACACACUCCAUCUCCAACACUAAACACUCUUCACCCAGAGAGACAGACUCUAGCUGUGACGCUAAACACGCCUUCUCUGCUCGGCAGAACAACUACAUCAAAAGCCAGAGGAGCGCCUUCGUGGGGGAGCAGGAGGAGGAGUGUGAGGAGUGGGACGAGCUCAGAGAGGAGGCUCUGCUGAAGGAGGUGAAGGCUGAGCUUCAGGAGCAGCAGCGGGCAGAGAGAACUAAGGCUGAGCUUCAGGAGCAGCAGCGGGCAGAGAGAACUAAGGCUGCGCUUCAGGAGCAGCAGCGGGCAGAGCAGCGGGCAGAGAGAGCUAAGGCUGAGCUCCAGGCUCGUCAGGAGCAGCAGCGGGCAGAGAGAACUAACGCUGAGCUUCAGGAGCAGCGGGCAGAGAGAGCUAAGGCUGAGCUCCAGGCUCGUCAGGAGCAGCAGCGGGCAGAGAGAACUAACGCUGAGCUUCAGGAGCAGCGGGCAGAGAGAGCUAAGGCUGAGCUUCAGGAGCAGCAGCGGGCAGAGAGAGCUAAGACUGAGCUUCAGGAGCAGCAGCGGGCAGAGAGAACUAAGGCUGAGCUCCAGGACCAGCAGCGGGCAGAGAGAACUAAGGCUGAGCUUCAGGAGCAGCAGCAGCGGGCAGAGAGAACUAAGGCUGAGCUUCAGGCUCGUCAGGAGCAGCAGCGGGCAGAGAGAACUAAGGCUGCGCUUCAGGAGCAGCAGCGGGCAGAGAGAGCUAACGCUGAGCUUCAGGAGCAGCGGGCAGAGAGAGCUAAGGCUGAGCUUCAGGAACAGCGGGCAGAGAGAGCUAAGGCUGAGCUUCAGGAGCAGCAGCGGGCAGAGAGAACUAAGGCUGAGCUUCAGGAGCAGCGGGCAGAGAGAACUAAGGCUGAGCUUCAGGAGCAGCGGACAGAGAGAACUAAGGCUGAGCUCCAGGCUCGUCAGGAGCAGCAGCGGGCAGAGAGAACUAAGGCUGCGGACCACCAGCGCGCGGGACUCCGCUCCGCUCCGAAAGAGUCUCCGAUGCCCCCCCGGGACGACGUACCAGCGCCAAAUGAGAGCCCAAGGCGUGAAAAUAACAUUCUGUUACCCUCGCCCUUGCCUGACGGGCGCACCCAAAAGGGCAUCGUACCCCUCAGAGGCAACACACUGGCCAAGCGAGACCUGUUCGCCAACAUGCACCCGCAGCCACCGGGCAGACACGCCACGAGGCAGAACGCCACGCUCGACAAAUACGACCUGGCCAAGAUGGCGCUGGAGGAGGUCAUAGCGGAGAGAGAGGAGAGGAAGAGGAGAGGUCAGGGGUCAUCGGAACACAAGCAGCAGGGAGGUGUAGAGGACCGUCAGGAGAACAGAACCGUGGUCUCACAGCAGAGAGAGAGAGAACCGAGCAGGGUUCUGAGGGACAGAAGGGAGAACAGACAGGAUAUUUCUGUGCGCGGCGACCAGACGAUGCACUCUGACCAGCAGGCCGAGAGCACUAAAGGACCUGUGGCCCCUCGAGGGCAAUUAGCCAAGGGUGUUCAUCAACAAGACCCCACGCCCCCCACCAAACAGAUCAAACACAACAGAGAAGGAAAGUCAGGCGAGAGGGGGAGGGUGGGUGGCGCUGAUGAGACUGGCAGGGGGAGGGGGGGUGGCGCUGAUGAGACUGGCGGGGGGAGGGGGGGCACUCAGUCUUACCCACCGUCGGAGAGGGACAGGGAGGGGGAGAGGGUGAAGAGGCAGGAGAGCUCAGAGAGAGAGGGAACAGGUUACAGCAGGAGCGAGAAGGCUGGUAGGGAACGUGGCCGUCAGAGCACAAGAUCGCCACCUGCUGUUCCUCCCAGGAAAGGCAAAGCUGGCACGAGGGAGGAGGACAGGACUGGCACGAGGGGUGAGGGCAAAGCUGGCACGAGGGAUGAGGACAGGAGUGGCACGAGGGGUGAGGACAGGACUGGCACGAGGGGUGAGGGCAGGACAGCAGAGGAAGACUAUGCAGAGCAGGAAGCAGGAAGCACUAAAGACGAGGGGAGGGAACAUGUGCAUGGAGACAGGAAGACUGAACAGAAGGGACAAGAUGAAACUCAAAACAACAACAAGCACUUAGAGAUGAGCAAACAUAACAAACAUGAAGCCCACUUAGAGAUGAGCAAAGAUAACAAACAGAAUAACUCUACUGAGGACUCUGCUAAGACUAGUACACAAGAGUCCUGGACAAAGACAGUCACCUACACAGAGAAAGAGUCACAGAAAGCUGAGAAUAAGACUCAUGAAAGAGAUACGCUGCACAAAACAAAGAUAAAACCAGAGAUAAACUCAAAACAGUUCGAGACAGCGCAGAAGCAAACCCCUAAGGGGCAGGAAUGUCCUGGUUCUCCAGAGGUGCAGGAAGUGAUUCGCGGGUCGUCUCUUGGGGAAGAGAAGAGUGAGAAGGAGGAGGAGGCGAAGGAGAGAGACAGCGAGGUGUCCGCUCAGAAGGGUCAGAGGGCGAAGCAGAGGCAGAGUUAUGUGAAAGACUUCUUAAGCCUGCUGGGGCUGUCCGGCGAAGAGAAGGCCACAGCUGACCACGAGGCAGCUACCGAGAGGAACAGCAGCGAACACCAACCUGCGUCCCCUGAACUCCACAACACACACACACCUGUGGGGGACAGCGUAACCAUUCACGACAUCCUGAAGCACAGGUCCCCCCCCGUGUACAGUCCACUGCAGUCCCCCGUGAGGUCCCCCUCUUCAUACAGCCAUAACUUAUCUCAGAAGCACUCAACAGAACAGGAGUGCAGCGUUAAGUUGGAGCAGAGAGGAGCAGAUGUUAGCAAGCCAAAGGAGGACUUGGUGAAGCCAAAGGAGGACUUGGUGAAGCCAAAGGAGGACUCGGUGAAGCCUGAGUUAGACUACUGCACCUUCGGUGACCCAGGAAGUGAAUCAGAUGCUUCGGAGCGGCAGAUUGUGUCUCCUCUCAGUGACCUGGACCACGCCGGAUGGCUCCGCGGUCUGAUCGAACACGCCCAGAGCCUCACCCCGAAAGACCUGACACCCGUCAGCUUGACCCCCAGCCAGUCCAAUGCCUCCUCACCCACCCCGGCCACCAAGCCAGUGCUGUUCAAGGUGAAGGACAACACGUUCGCCUCCUCCUCCACCUCCUCCACCUCCUCCCCCGUCACCAAGACGGUCCGGCCCGUCCUGCACAAGUCCGUCCAGGACAUGAUCACAAAGCCCUGGUCCCCCCCGCAGGACAGCCUGAGCGGCUCAAAGCCCUGGUCCCCGCAGGAGAACCCGAGCGGGUCAAAGCCCUGGUCCCCCCCGCAGGAGAGUCUGAGCGGGUCAAAGCCCUGGUCCCCGCGCGAGAGCCUGAGCGGGUCCGAGAGGGGCGAGGAGGAGCCGGACCGCCCCAGGGAGGCACUGCGGAUCCCCAUCUUGGUGGAGACGGCCAGCUCCCCACUCCCAGAGAGCUCCCACUCCACACCUGCAGAGGGCGCCGCUGCCCCUCUGCCCCCCUCACCCUCCCGGCCGCCCCCCUCACCCUCCCGGCUGCCCCAGGGGCAGAUGCUGGAGGUGCCGGAGGAGGGGGGGCGGGGCUCUGUCUCGAGUAGCCUAUCGGAGGGCGUGAGAAGCAACGACACGAGCGUGGGUGACGAGACGGGGCUGGGCGCGGCACAGACCGACGACCCAGAGGGCGAGAGGUGCGAGUCGGAGUCGGUCUGCAGUGGCACAGAGGGCACAGAGGGUCUGAGCAGGAAGCCCCCGCCCGCCGUCUUGCCCAAAAGUGAGAAGGCACUGAGACGGGCCAAGAGGCUGACCACCCGCCGCAUCCAGAAGGCAGAGGUGAAGGGCCGCAAAACGGACCGCAAGAACCGCAGUGCAGAGAAGCCGGAACCCGACAAGAAGAACCACAGCGGAGAGAAGGUAGAGCUCGACCUGAAGAACUGGAUCCAGAACAAUCCAGGGACUGACCAGGAGCACCAGGGCAGAGAGAGAACAGAGUCAGAGCACAAUCACCACAGCAGUGAUCACCAUAGCAACAGGCACAUUCACCACAGCAGUGAUCACCAUAGCGACAGGCACAUUUACCACAGCAGCAGCAGCGAGAAACAACAGGACAAAUCGAAAAACAGUGAUCACCAUAGCAACAUGCCCUCGAGCCACAGCGGUCCCCAUGACCACGACCGCAAAGGCAGGAGCGGCGAGAAACACGCGCGCGUCAAACAUGCGAGCUACAGCAGCGACAGGCACAUCGGCAACCAUAGAGACCUGAGGAGCCAUGGCAACGGGAGAGACUCUGCUGAGCAGGUGUCCGAGCAGCAUCAGCAUCAGCAUCAGCACCAGCACCAGCAGGUUUACCUGAUGGAGAGUCCCAGUGAUAUCGGUUGCCGUGGCGACCGGAGGAGCAGGAGUCUGGAGCGAGACCUCCAGCCCCGCCCCAGCCAGCACCGGCGCCAGUCACGUGACCACAACCACGCAGGAAGUGACAUCAAAUCAGCCCAGUCACGUGACCUCAACCACGCAGGAAGUGACAUCACAUCAGCCCAGUCGUCCAGAGGUUCAUCCCGCCGCACCUCCCUCAACGGCCUCCUUGUGCGUCAGAACAGCUCCGAGCACACGUACCCCCCCCAGACCACACGUACCCCCCCACGACCUCUAACCUGGUGCCCCAGUCCUUCCCCAUGACCCAGCGGAAGCUGCUGCAGGAUCCCGACUCGGGCCAGUACUUUGUGGUGGACAUGCCAGUGCAGGUCAAGACCAAGACCUUCUUCGACCCGGAGACCGGCAGCUACGUGCACCUCCCUGUGCAGUCAGCAGAGGGCGCUCUGCCAGCAGGGCCGGGUCCCGUCUCUAUGGAGAUGCUGAACCCGUCCAUGGUGGUGUACCACGGGUUCGUGCCGGUGCCUGUGUCGUCCUCUCUGCCCCAGCAUAAAGCCAAUGCUCCCUCUGGUGAGGGCAUGGAGGUGGUGAUGGAGAACAGUGCCCCCCAGUGGCAAGAGGACUGUACUCACAAACGCAGUAGAAAUGAACAUCCUUACAUAGAGCCAGCGUAUGUGUUGAAGGAGCACACUCCUGAGGAGGAGCUGGACAGCAUGAGAUGAGAGAGGAGGAGGAGGAGGAGGAGGAAGAGGAGGAGGAGGACAGCAUGAGAUGAGAGAGGAGGAGGAGGAGGAGGAGGAGGAGGAGUGGUAGAAUGAUAAUACGGACAGUGUGGAGUUCAAAUGAGCUUAAGAUUGAAAGCUUUUGAAUUCAGGGAUUGCCAGUUGUUUUUGAUAUGCACUCUGUAAUGGUUUUACUCAAGGAGUGGUUGAAGACGUGUAAAUAUGCUGUGUGUUUGAAUAGACACUAAGAGACUGUAAAUCUUUCUGUGAAUGAAGGGCAGUGUCUGUUUCUACACUCUCAGGCCUUGCUGUUUUUUUAAAUGAUGAAGAAUGUAAAAAUAGCUUUUGCUAUAUUUUUGUACUUUUGCCUUGAUCUCAGUGACUGAACACCCGUGUGAUUUGUAAUGCUUUAUUUGAAACCUAUUCUAAACACAGACGUGAUGACUAAUGUCUGUUUUCAAAUGUAUUCUGAACACGAAUCACGUGAUUGGUAAUGUCUGUUUUAAAACGUAUUCUCUACAAUUGCUGACACGUUUUGAGUGUUGAUGUGAAGAUUACUUUUUGAAGAGAGUUGUGUGGCCAUCGCUUUACUACUGACGUGUAGGCAUGGAGAGUAACGUCAAGGUGGCCCGAACCGUACACUUUGUUUAGGACGUGAUUUUCUGAGACAGCUUUUGGAAGACGCAUAUUUUGGAAUUAAGUAGUAUUCAUGGUGAAACGGAGAUGAGUCGGCUUCAUAUGUAAACCAUUCCAAUAAAAUACUUGCCAUGCCAGCUAAUGCCUCA
ensembl:lncRNA